rnacentral:rRNA from 1 species
AAGCGGGGAAAAGCUCAAAUUUAAAAUCUGAUAGUCUUUGGCUGUCCGAGUUGUAGUCUGGAGAAGCGUUUUCUGUGCUGGACCGUGUAUAAGUUCCUUGGAAUAGGGCGUCAUAGAGGGUGAGAAUCCCGUCUUUGACACGGACUACCAGUGCUUUGUGAUGCGCUCUCAAAGAGUCGAGUUGUUUGGGAAUGCAGCUCAAAAUGGGUGGUAAAUUCCAUCUAAAGCUAAAUAUUGGCGAGAGACCGAUAGCGAACAAGUACCGUGAGGGAAAGAUGAAAAGCACUUUGGAAAGAGAGUUAAACAGUACGUGAAAUUGCUGAAAGGGAAACGCUUGAAGUCAGUCGCGUUGUGCAGAACUCAGCCUGGCUUUUGCUUGGUGUAUUUUCUGUAUAACGGGCCAGCAUCAAUUUUGGCCGCUGGAAAAAGGCUUUAGAAAUGUGGCACCUUCGGGUGUGUUAUAGUCUAGAGUCAUAUACAGCGGCUGGGAUUGAGGUCUGCAGCACGCCUUUAUGGCUGGGGUUCGCCCACAUUCGUGCUUAGGAUGCUGGCCGUAAUGGCUUUAAACGACCCGUCUUGAAACACGGACCA